rnacentral:rRNA from 1 species
AUUGUGAUCAGCACGUGCUCCUUCACGUUGAAGGGGCCCGGGUUGAGGGUGAACUCAUACGGCCUGCCGCGGAAGAAGGCGCGCUCCGGCAGCGCGGCCGCCAUGAGCCGUCCGAGCGGCACGACGGCGACCUGGGCGGAGAUGGCCGUGACGGUGAGCGGCUCCUUGCGGUACCAGAAGAACUGGUUGAGGAAGGAGAGCACGGCGCAGGAGAGGACGCCGAGGACCCACAUCCGGAACGUCAGCACCGGCGUGUCCGGGUCGUCGCCCACCGGCACCGUCAGCGCCACCUGCUCGAUCGGCGAGUUCUCCCCCUCCUCCUCCUCGUCCCGCUCCGGCGAGCUGCGGGACGUCGACGACGGCACUGCAUGGGGAGCAGAGACCGGUUAA